AUUGGCUUUCUGCACCUGACGAGAACCACUAGGCUUAUCCGAAGACGGAAAUAUAUGGGCUUUCCUGACUCCAAGUGGCAGCCCCGGGGCGAGCAUGUGAUGUCAAGCUGGGCCUUGGAAAGCAGAGCUGUGCACCAGCCUGUGUCUUAAGAAUGCAUCAGAUCCCCUAGAACUGGAGCUCCAGAUGGUUAUGAGGUACCAUGUGGGUGCUGGAAAUCAAGCCCAGGUUCCCUACAAUAGCA
ensembl:lincRNA 5730437C11Rik RIKEN cDNA 5730437C11 gene